GAUGAACGCUAGCUACAGGCUUAACACAUGCAAGUCGAGGGGUAACGAGAGGAAAGCUUGCUUUCCUUGUCGACGACCGGCGCACGGGUGAGUAACGCGUAUCCAACCUGCCCCCAACUAGGGAAUAACCUUGCGAAAGUAAGACUAAUACCCUAUAAUUUCCUCAGAUGUCAUCUGACGAGGAAUAAAGAUUUAUCGGUUGUGGAUGGGGAUGCGUCUGAUUAGCUUGUUGGCGGGGUAACGGCCCACCAAGGCAACGAUCAGUAGGGGUUUUGAGAGGAAGGACCCCCAGAUUGGAACUGAGACACGGUCCAAACUCCUACGGGAGGCAGCAGUGAGGAAUAUUGGUCAAUGGGCGGAAGCCUGAACCAGCCAAGUGGCGUGCAGGAUGGCGGCCCUAUGGGUUGUAAACUGCUUUUAUACAGGAAUAAAGUUAGCCACGUGUGGUUAUUUGUAGGUACUGUAUGAAUAAGGACCGGCUAAUUCCGUGCCAGCCGCCGCCGUAA
rnacentral:rRNA from 1 species